ensembl:lncRNA
CUCAAGCCAUCAGCCCCCUCUGCCGGAUCCCUGCAGGGGGGCUUGAGCUGAUCCACUCCCAGCCUCAGUCCCAGAAAGGGAAACUGAUUCAGAGAGGGACAGCAAAAAGCCAGUUUACUCUGCCUGCCCCUACAAAGGGGUCAGUUCCUUAGAGAGGCCAUUCCAGAUCCCCCAACUGCCUCUGCUAUUCCUUCACCUCACCACGCUCGGCCUCCCCUCUGUGGACCCAUCAAACCCUUGUUCAGUAGCCAGUCUAAUUGACAGACAUUCUACCAAUUCCUGAGCCCUUCCAUUCUCGGCCCCAGGAUGUCAGGAUGAAUACAACACAGCCUCCGCCCUCGCCCACCAGGAUCCUCUGUCCAUUGGGAUUCUCCAGGCAAGAAUACUGAAGUGUGUUGCCAUUCCUUUCUCCAGAUCUUCCAGACCCAGGGAUCGAACUCACAUCUCUUACGUCUCCUGAAUUGUGGAAGUGCAGAGCCCUAACCACUGGCCUGCCAGGGAAUGCUGACUUCCCAGGACUUCGAAGCUGAGGCAGCCACAUUCCCUGCUCAGAGGAGAUAAUCAGGGAUGUAUGUCGCUUCAGUCGUGUCCAACUCUUUGCGACCCUAUG